GAAUUCAUCCAGAUGUUCUUUAAUCGGCGUACCUUCACUCAUUCUCAGAUUGUAAAGUAUUUUCUUCAGAUACAGGCGGUUGGUCAGUGAUUUGGCAAAGUAUAACUCCUCUAAUUUCUUCAAUGCCGCAGAUGCUGAGCUUUCACCAGCAAUCUCGCGUAGGACAUUAUCAGUUACGCUCAUGAAAAUCGCACUCAAGGCUCUCUCCUUUAGAUUAGCCUUCUCUGCCUCUUUUAUACCUUCUGGAAAGUUAUCCUCGAUUGCCUUCCAUAGACCUUGUAGGAUCAAGGAAGAUUUAAUUUUAAUAUUCCACAGACUGAAACUCGAUCCACCAUCAAACUUCUCUAUCUCAUACUUCGUUGAAGACGACGCUAUCUGUAAACCCUAGGUUUUGCGCAUAAAGCUCUAAUAUCAGUUUGUUAUAACAAGCACACAAAUCUAAGGCACACACACAAAUUGCACAAUCACACAAUAUUGAAAAUAGAAGAAGAAUAAUAUAUAAUUUAACGUGGUUCAACCUUAAGGUCUACGUCCACAGGCAAGAUAAGAGAAAAAGUUCCACUAUGA
rnacentral:misc_RNA from 1 species